rnacentral:rRNA from 1 species
CAGCCGCCACGGUAAUACGUAGGGUGCGAGCGUUAAUCGGAACUACUGGGCGUAAAGCGUGCGCAGGCGGUUCGUUAAGACAGAUGUGAAAUCCCCGGGCUUAACCUGGGGACUGCAUUUGUGACUGGCGAGCUAGAGUAUGGCAGAGGGGGGUAGAAUUCCACGUGUAGCAGUGAAAUGCGUAGAGAUGUGGAGGAAUACCGAUGGCGAAGGCAGCCCCCUGGGCCAAUACUGACGCUCAUGCACGAAAGCGUGGGGAGCAAACAGGAUUAGAUACCCGCGUAGUCCCUGUCUCUUAUAC